rnacentral:piRNA from 1 species
UGUGAUGUGUCAUGCUGCUGC